rnacentral:lncRNA from 1 species
UGUUUCUGUAUCUGUUGAUUGUGUUUGUUUAUUUCUAUAGAACCAUCUUCUCUUCCCAGUAAACACAGAAGACAAGACAGAGAGGAGCACAGGAGGGAAGAAGAGCCCCUGGGGAAGAAGUCCAGUCUUUGCAGUUUUCCCCACUGUGGCAGAGGGGCCAUCCUCCUCCCUUGUUCCCCAGGAGGCUCCUGUUCGGCUUUUCAGAACCAUCUCCUCUUCCCAGUAAACACAGAAGACAAGACAGAGAGGAGCACAGGAGGGAAGAAGAGUCCCUGGGGAAGAAGUCUUUCAGCUUCCUCCAUGCAGCAUGUCUUUCAUGCUGGUUCUUUCUGGCUGACCUGAAACACAGGUGCCUGCAGAGGAAGGUGAAGAACCUCCCCAUGGUCCCCUGCUAGCCCUGACUGUUUCCAUAGGGAAAGGCUGGGUCAUACCCCAGGGCAAAUUCUACUGAUCCUGCACCUGUCCAAGCUGCCCAGUGUGCAGUUAGUUUCCUCUGUAAGAGACACCCUGGAGGACGUUGGUUCCAUUUGGGGCUCCACCACUGCUGCUGGGGUAUGGGUGGAGGGGAAGGCCACAGGGCCUUGCUGGGGGGGCUGUGCAGUGGGGGUACAGGUUAGGGAGGGGACUGGCAGGCAGGCUAGCUGUGUUGGUGGCUUCCGCCCUGCCUCCUGAUCCUCCUCAGGCCUCUGAUUUCUUUGUUGCUCCUUUGACUAUUCACAACACAGAAAUUUAAAAUGGGAAUGGUAGGCUCACUAUACUUCUGCUGCUUUGAGUUGCCUGAGAUGCCGUGAUGCACUUUGUGGAUGGGGAAGGAGUGCAGCUAGUGGUGGGAUCAGCUGAAGGUGGGGAGGUAGGUUUUGGGACUG